rnacentral:rRNA from 1 species
CCUACGGGAGGCAGCAGUAGGGAAUAUUGCUCAAUGGGGGAAACCCUGAACCAGCCACGCCGCGUGAAGGAUGACGGUUUUCGGAUUUUAAACUCCUUUUGUUCGAGAAGCUAAUGACGCUAUCUAACGGAUAAGCACCGGCUAACUCCGUGCCAGCAGCCGCGGGAAUACGGAGGGUGCAAGCGGUACUCGGAAUAACUGGGCGUAAAGAGCGCGUAGGCGGGAUAGCAAGUCAGAUGUGAAAUCCUAUGGCUUAACCAUAGAACUGCAUUUGAAACUGUUAUUCUAGAGUAUGGGAGAGGGAGGUGGAAUUCUUGGUGUAGCGGUAAAAUCCGUAGAGAGCAAGAAGAAUACUCAUUGCGAAGGCGACCUGCUAGAACAUAACUGACGCUGAUGCGCGAAAGCGUGGGGAGCAAACAGGAUUAGAUACCCCAGUAGUC